rnacentral:rRNA from 1 species
GACGAACGCUGGCGGCGUGCUUAACACAUGCAAGUCGAACGGAAAGGCCCUGCUUUUGUGGGGUGCUCGAGUGGCGAACGGGUGAGUAACACGUGAGUAACCUGCCCUUGACUUUGGGAUAACUUCAGGAAACUGGGGCUAAUACCGGAUAGGAGCUCCUGCUGCAUGGUGGGGGUUGGAAAGUUUCGGCGGUUGGGGAUGGACUCGCGGCUUAUCAGCUUGUUGGUGGGGUAGUGGCUUACCAAGGCUUUGACGGGUAGCCGGCCUGAGAGGGUGACCGGCCACAUUGGGACUGAGAGACGGCCCAGACUCCUACGGAAGGCAGCAGUGGGGAAUAUUGCACAAUGGGCGGAAGCCUGAUGCAGCAACGCCGCGUGCGGGAUGACGGCCUUCGGGUUGUAAACCGCUUUCGCCUGUGACGAAGCGUGAGUGACGGUAAUGGGUAAAGAAGCACCGGCUAACUACGU